AUCUAUGGCCAUGCCACCUGAACAAGCCCGAUCCCAUCUGAUCUUGGAAGCUAAGCAAGGUCAGGCCUAGUUAGUACUUGGAUGGGAGACCACCUAGGAAGACCAAGUACUGUAGGCA
rnacentral:rRNA from 1 species